rnacentral:tRNA from 2 species
GCCGCCCUUAGCAUAUCCGGUUAAUGCGCCCGUCUGUGACACGGGAGAAGAGGGUUCAAGUCCCCAGGCGGUUCCA